rnacentral:rRNA from 1 species
UACAGAGGGGGCGAAGCGUUAUUCGGAAUUAUUGGGCGUAAAGGGCGCGUAGGCGGCCUGGCAAGUGGAAGGUGAAAUCCCUCGGCUUAACCGAGGAACUGCCCUCCAAACUGCUUGGCUUGAGUCCGGGAGAGGUGAGUGGAAUUCCCAGUGUAGCGGUGAAAUGCGUAGAUAUUGGGAGGAACACCAGUGGCGAAGGCGGCUCACUGGACCGGAACUGACGCUGAG